UUAAGCGACUAAGCGUACACGGUGGAUGCCCUGGCAGUCAGAGGCGAUGAAGGACGUGCUAAUCUGCGAUAAGCGUCGGUGAGGUGAUAUGAACCGUUAUAACCGGCGAUUUCCGAAUGGGGAAACCCAGUGUGUUUCGACACACUAUCAUUAACUGAAUCCAUAGGUUAAUGAGGCGAACCGGGGGAACUGAAACAUCUAAGUACCCCGAGGAAAAGAAAUCAACCGAGAUUCCCCCAGUAGCGGCGAGCGAACGGGGAGGAGCCCAGAGCCUGAAUCAGUGUGUGUGUUAGUGGAAGCGUCUGGAAAGGCGUGCGAUACAGGGUGACAGCCCCGUACACAAAAAUGCACAUAUUGUGAGCUCGAUGAGUAGGGCGGGACACGUGGUAUCCUGUCUGAAUAUGGGGGGACCAUCCUCCAAGGCUAAAUACUCCUGACUGACCGAUAGUGAACCAGUACCGUGAGGGAAAGGCGAAAAGAACCCCGGCGAGGGGAGUGAAAAAAGAACCUGAAACCGUGUACGUACAAGCAGUGGGAGCCUCUUAAUGGGGUGACUGCGUACCUUUUGUAUAAUGGGUCAGCGACUUAUAUUCUGUAGCAAGGUUAACCGAAUAGGGGAGCCGAAGGGAAACCGAGUCUUAACUGGGCGUUAAGUUGCAGGGUAUAGACCCGAAACCCGGUGAUCUAGCCAUGGGCAGGUUGAAGGUUGGGUAACACUAACUGGAGGACCGAACCGACUAAUGUUGAAAAAUUAGCGGAUGACUUGUGGCUGGGGGUGAAAGGCCAAUCAAACCGGGAGAUAGCUGGUUCUCCCCGAAAGCUAUUUAGGUAGCGCCUCGUGAAUUCAUCUCCGGGGGUAGAGCACUGUUUCGGCAAGGGGGUCAUCCCGACUUACAACAUUUCGGCAAGAAGGGUCAUCCCGACUUACCAACCCGAUGCAAACUGCGAAUACCGGAGAAUGUUAUCACGGGAGACACACGGCGGGUGCUAACGUCCGUCGUGAAGAGGGAAACAACCCAGACCGCCAGCUAAGGUCCCAAAGUCAUGGUUAAGUGGGAAACGAUGUGGGAAGGCCCAGACAGCCAGGAUGUUGGCUUAGAAGCAGCCAUCAUUUAAAGAAAGCGUAAUAGCUCACUGGUCGAGUCGGCCUGCGCGGAAGAUGUAACGGGGCUAAACCAUGCACCGAAGCUGCGGCAACCAUGCACCGAAGCUGCGGCAGCGACACUAUGUGUUGUUGGGUAGGGGAGCGUUCUGUAAGCCUGUGAAGGUGGCCUGUGAGGGUUGCUGGAGGUAUCAGAAGUGCGAAUGCUGACAUAAGUAACGAUAAAGCGGGUGAAAAGCCCGCUCGCCGGAAGACCAAGGGUUCCUGUCCAACGUUAAUCGGGGCAGGGUGAGUCGACCCCUAAGGCGAGGCCGAAAGGCGUAGUCGAUGGGAAACAGGUUAAUAUUCCUGUACUUGGUGUUACUGCGAAGGGGGGACGGAGAAGGCUAUGUUGGCCGGGCGACGGUUGUCCCGGUUUAAGCGUGUAGGCUGGUUUUCCAGGCAAAUCCGGAAAACCAAGGCUGAGGCGUGAUGACGAGGCACUACGGUGCUGAAGCGACAAAUGCCCUGCUUCCAGGAAAAGCCUCUAAGCAUCAGGUAACAUCAAAUCGUACCCCAAACCGACACAGGUGGUCAGGUAGAGAAUACCAAGGCGCUUGAGAGAACUCGGGUGAAGGAACUAGGCAAAAUGGUGCCGUAACUUCGGGAGAAGGCACGCUGAUAUGUAGGUGAAGCGACUUGCUCGUGGAGCUGAAAUCAGUCGAAGAUACCAGCUGGCUGCAACUGUUUAUUAAAAACACAGCACUGUGCAAACACGAAAGUGGACGUAUACGGUGUGACGCCUGCCCGGUGCCGGAAGGUUAAUUGAUGGGGUUAGCGGCAACGCGAAGCUCUUGAUCGAAGCCCCGGUAAACGGCGGCCGUAACUAUAACGGUCCUAAGGUAGCGAAAUUCCUUGUCGGGUAAGUUCCGAAAUUCCUUGUCGGGUAAGUUCCGACCUGCACGAAUGGCGUAAUGAUGGCCAGGCUGUCUCCACCCGAGACUCAGUGAAAUUGAACUCGCUGUGAAGAUGCAGUGUACCCGCGGCAAGACGGAAAGACCCCGUGAACCUUUACUAUAGCUUGACACUGAACAUUGAGCCUUGAUGUGUAGGAUAGGUGGGAGGCUUUGAAGUGUGGACGCCAGUCUGCAUGGAGCCGACCUUGAAAUACCACCCUUUAAUGUUUGAUGUUCUAACGUUGGCCCGUAAUCCGGGUUGCGGACAGUGUCUGGUGGGUAGUUUGACUGGGGCGGUCUCCUCCUAAAGAGUAACGGAGGAGCACGAAGGUUGGCUAAUCCUGGUCGGACAUCAGGAGGUUAGUGCAAUGGCAUAAGCCAGCUUGACUGCGAGCGUGACGGCGCGAGCAGGUGCGAAAGCAGGUCAUAGUGAUCCGGUGGUUCUGAAUGGAAGGGCCAUCGCUCAACGGAUAAAAGGUACUCCGGGGAUAACAGGCUGAUACCGCCCAAGAGUUCAUAUCGACGGCGGUGUUUGGCACCUCGAUGUCGGCUCAUCACAUCCUGGGGCUGAAGUAGGUCCCAAGGGUAUGGCUGUUCGCCAUUUAAAGUGGUACGCGAGCUGGGUUUAGAACGUCGUGAGACAGUUCGGUCCCUAUCUGCCGUGGGCGCUGGAGAACUGAGGGGGGCUGCUCCUAGUACGAGAGGACCGGAGUGGACGCAGGACCGGAGUGGACGCAUCACUGGUGUUCGGGUUGUCAUGCCAAUGGCACUGCCCGGUAGCUAAAUGCGGAAGAGAUAAGUGCUGAAAGCAUCUAAGCACGAAACUUGCCCCGAGAUGAGUUCUCCCUGAAGAAGGGCCCCCGUUAGAGUCCUGAAGGAACGUUGAAGACGACGACGUUGAUAGGCCGGGUGUGUAAGCGCAGCGAUGCGUUGAGCUAACCGGUACUAAUGAACCGUGAGGCUUAACCUU
rnacentral:rRNA from 1 species